rnacentral:rRNA from 1 species
UACGUAGGGUGCGAGCGUUGUCCGGAAUUACUGGGCGUAAAGAGCUCGUAGGUGGUUUGUCGCGUUGUUCGUGAAAUUCCCUGGCUUAACUGGGGGUGUGCGGGCGAUACGGGCAGACUGGAGUACUGCAGGGGAGACUGGAAUUCCUGGUGUAGCGGUGGAAUGCGCAGAUAUCAGGAGGAACACCGGUGGCGAAGGCGGGUCUCUGGGCCGCAUACUGACGCUGAGGAGCGAAAGCGUGGGGAGCGAACAGG